AGCAGCGUGGCUCAGUGGAAAGAGCCCGGGCUUGGAAGUCAGAGGUCAUAGGUUUGAUUCCUGACUCUGCCA
rnacentral:tRNA from 1 species